rnacentral:sRNA from 1 species
GCUGGGUGUGGUGGCCGGCACCUGUAAUCCCAGCUACUUGGGAGGCUGAGGCAGGAGAAUCACUUGAACCCAGGAGGCAGAGGUUGCAGUGAGCUGAGAUCACACCACUGCACUCCAGCCUGGGUGACAGAGUGAGAUUCUGUCUCAA